rnacentral:lncRNA from 1 species
GGGAAGCUGGUUUGCCUUUUCUAGUUUCUUCUCGGUGGUCCUUUUCCCUCAGAAACGAAGUUGCAGAAUCUGUAUAGGUCUUGCUAUCUAUUUUUUGAUGAUUCAAGAUCUGGGGUCGUCCUUACUUAGGAUUUCCCUGUUUUCCUUCUUUUCUCGAUAAUUCAAGAUCUUGGGUCGUCUUUAUUUAGGCCGCUUACGGCGGCGGUGGGGAGCCGGUCACCCCAUCUCCCCCGCAUUCGAGUAGGGUCGGGGCAUUGUCACUGAGAAGAUUUGAACUCAGCACCGCCUGCCAUAGCUCGGACAGGAUUUUGCGUCCCUUUUCCGAGGCCACCGAAGGGAGUGUUAUAUUUUUUUCUCCCCCGGUUGAGGGUUAGCAAAGUUUAAGGAUGAUGGGCAGUGGCUACCAUUGUUUUUUUUUGGUCUUUGCCUUAACUUUUAAUUUUGGCAAGCAGGUUUAGCUGCAAGAUUAAGGGUUAAUCCAACCUAGAUCGAGACUUUUAGCAGCAUUUAAUAAACCAGCAAAAGUCCUAAGCAGCCGAUUCUUAGUUGGGGUUUCAUUGCUGCGGCAGCUGUAGUUUAAGCGGCUACUAAACGGCGCCGUUUUAAGUGGGCUUCGAAUCUCGAGGCUGUCCUGUCGAAAGACGGGUGGGGCCCGCUUCCGGGUUUGUUGUCAUGUGAGCUAAAACGCCGUGCCGUUUUGUGUCUGCGGACGAGCGACCGUUUCUCG